rnacentral:misc_RNA from 1 species
GAUGAAGAACGUAGCGAAAUGCGAUAAGUAAUGUGAAUUGCAGAAUUCAGUGAAUCAUCGAAUCUUUGAACGCACCUUGCGCUCCUUGGCAUUCCGAGGAGCAUGCCUGUUUGAGUGUCAUUAAAUUCUCAAGACCUGUCUGCUUUUUUGAUAGGUAUUGGAUUUUGGGGGUUGCAGGCUGUUUCAAAUAAAUAGCCUUGCUCUCCUUGAAUGUAUUAGUGUAGAAAAUCCAUUGAACUCCAUUGGUGUGAUAAAACCUAUCAAUGCCAGGAGCAAUAUCACUACUUCUCUCUGCUGUCUAACUGUGACUGUCUGUAUUAAUUAGUAUGGAUGGGGACAACUUGACCAACUUGACCUCAAAUCAGGUAGGACUACCCGCUGAACUUAAGCAUAUCAAUAAGCGGAGGA